AUUGAACGCUGGCGGCGUGCUUAACACAUGCAAGUCGUGCGGUAACAGGCGUAGCAAUACGUGCUGACGAGCGGCGAACGGGUGCGUAAUACAUGGGAAUCUGCCCUUUAGUGGGGAAUAACCCGGCGAAAGCCGGGCUAAUGCCGCAUAAGAUCUUCGGAUGAAAGCGGGGGAUCGUAAGACCUCGCGCUGAUGGGUGAGCCCAUGUCGGAUUAGCUAGNGGUGAGGUAACGGCUCACCAAGGCGACGAUCCGUAGCUGGUCUGAGAGGACGGCCAGCCACACUGGGACUGAGACACGGCCCAGACUCCUACGGGAGGCAGCAGUGGGAAUAUUGGACAAUGGGGGAAACCCUGAUCCAGCGACGCCGCGUGUGUGAAGAAGGCCU
rnacentral:rRNA from 1 species